rnacentral:lncRNA from 1 species
GCAUAUGCUGUAUAUGGCAGCACAUAUUAUCACGAAGAUAAAUGUGUUUCCAUAUUGACUCAUUUUGGACUUGGCGCUGAAGUUUCCAUAUAUGGAGAACAAGGCUUCUAAGACGGGUUCCAAAUUCUUUGAUAUCAUGUGCCCAUUGACAGAGGUAAUUACUUGAGAUCUUGUAUCAUAAUAUGUCAAACCGAAUGUGGGGUCUUGACGUUUGGAUUCAAAUAUUUCCAUGAUUUUAGCUAAUACUUUCCUCCCCCUUGUUGCAUCUUUGACAUCAUCAUUUAGUUUCCUCUCCUGAUCACCCUCUUCCUCCGUAAUGGGUUCAAAUAUUUCUAUUUCAUGAGCGAAUGGCUUAUUUUCAGUGCUGCUGCUGCCACCAUCAUCUUGCUGGUCCUUUAGUAAUAUUUUCCUUCCAGCUUGGUCCUUUUCACUUCUUGCAACUUCAACAGCAUCAUUUAGUUUCCUCCCCUGAUCAUCCUCUGGCAUGGACACAAUUUUGAAUAUUUUCUCAUCCUCCUCCGUAAUGGAUUCUAAAAUCUCACUGACUGUUGGAAAAGGAUUUUCAAUUACAACUGGUAAAGGAUUCAGCGUCAUGUUACCAAGUUUGUGAGCUAAGGACCACCCCAUCUGAAAAGUAAACAAGGCAAUACAAGUGAUCACUGCACUGAGCUACAUAACAUCUUAUAGUGGAAACACAGUGAAGAACAUGAAUGAAAAAUACAUGGGUUGCAUAUGUGCUCGGCCUAAAUAUGUAUUGUAAGCGGACAAAAUAUACAAUAACGGAGUUUGGCCUUGCUAGGGCAGAGUCCUCCACCGAGAUGUCUCUAUGGAACAAGCUCAGAGGUCCUCUGCGCCGGAGCUCGUACAGGCACUAUCGAAGACUGGACCUGUCUGAGCUAAGGCUACCUUACUCGUAAGUUGUCGCAGCUUAGUAAGCUUGGUAGGAUAACCAGCUGGAGCAUGGACGAGGGCCAAUGGCCGACGGUAAUCCUGAGGGAUAUCAGGAGCAAAAAUUCUGAGUUCACUGUUCAAAAGUGUCGACACCUGAAAGUCAAGUGUCGACACUACCAGAAAGUGUCGACGCCUGAAAAUCAGGUGUCGACACCUGAGACCCGAACUUCAAACUUUUUCUAUAUAAACCAAAAUUUUCAGUUAGGGUUCAACACCGAAAAUAAAACUUCAAUAAGCUAAAUAUAAGCCAUUAACAACAUACCCAAUGAAAAAUUCCAACAAGUAAACCUCCUUUACAACUUUCAUUAUAAACCAAGUUUUCUCAUUUCAAGUUCAAUGCUCAAAAUAAUGUCUCAAUAGACUUUAUAUAAGCUAUUGACAAUAACCCAAGAUUAAACCCCACAAGGAAAACCCCUUUUACCUCAAAUUCAAGCAAUGCAAGCUCCAAAUAUGGUGAAGAAGAUGAGAUAAAUCCCCAAUUCCGAUUUGCUCCGAUUCCAAAUCUUUUGGACUCAAAACUUUCUUCUAAAGGAUCACCACUCAAAUCUCACUUCAACUUACACAAAUCUAACAUUAAUUGUGAAAAUCUAUUUGGCUCAAAACCUAGAGAGAGAGGAAGAAAAGAAAUAAAUGUUGAAAAUUAAUGAAUUUGGAACAUGUUAGGUUAAGGCAAUAAAUGAUACUUGGGUCUUGGGCCUUGCUUGGCCCAAGUCACAACCCAAACCAAUCUUGGGUCCAAUCCAUUUGGCUCAAAACCUAGAGAGAGAGAGGAAGAAAAGAAAUAAAUCUUGGCUCACUCUCUCUCACACAUCCACUUUCAAACCCAAUAAAAACUCUAUCUUUAUUUUUUAUAUGGGUAAACUCACAUAUAUAUACAUACACACAUGUAUAUAUAUACAUGAUAUCGCACGUGCAUCCUAAUUAUGUCAUAUAUAAAAAGAAAAAAAAUUUGAAGCUUAUAGUCGGCACGUACGAGCACGCGCUGAGCUGCAGUCUGUCCAGUGACAAGGCAACUAGCGCGCCAAGGCAAGCGUCGAGUUGUGCCAUAUAAAGUCAGUCUUUCUUUGGAAGGUACGCACACUUUGGAUAAGAAACGCAUAUUCUCUCUCUUUCUCUCUCUACAUUCUCCAGUCAUCUAACUUGAUCGUUGGAGAGCUGUUCAGUGUUGCAGCAAGGACACUGCUAGACGACAGGUUAAAGCUACCUACACAGUUGUAGAACCACCGUGGGUGUCUAUCCUCGAUUUUCUUUCUCUUAUAUCUCAAUCAUACAACCUCACAAUUGUCACCGUCUGUAGGAAAUCGAUUAUAGACAUUUGCAAAACCAAUUCUGAUGGCAUUGCAAAGCAACAAUUGUUAUGGCAGUCAUGAAACUCGCAGGGAGACCCGUCAUGCACCUAAAACUCCUGAGUGCAGAGGGGGUAAACUACUGGAUAUACCUAUAGGGGGCUAAGGCCACCUCAGGGCAAAAUCCAAGUUGAUUGCUCCCUAGAGGAGCGAAAAGCCGGGAUAUAAUCAUCUAAUGCCUAAAAAUGCAAUUAGCCAAUAUGGCACAAAUUUUAGUUGACAAUAGGCUGAUGAAGUCAGCCCAAAUGGCAGGGGCAGGACAAUUUAGAAGCGUGAUUAAGGAAUCGGUCUUGCCGCCUUUGGAAGUUCAGGAUAUGAGACAACAUAGAUACCAUAUUAGCCUGGAUAGCUGAUCAGAUAGCAAAUCUGUAGCAUUGAGCAAGCGAAUAAGAUCACUCGACCGAACUAGGUCUGAGGUGGAUCUCCGCGAGACAUUCAAUGCUAAGCAAGAUUGAGAGGGGGACUUGCGUACUAAACUCAAUGGUCGUAAAACAGUGACAAUAUGUAAGGUUCGGCAGUCCGCAUAGCUCAAAGCAAAUAAAAAGAGGCGAUCCCUAGGUACCAGAUGCCAUUCUUCCGAGACAUUGAGGAAAUGGAUCCACCAGAGAAGUUUAUGCCACUAAGGUUCACACUAUAUGACGGGAAGUCAAAUCCGAGGUCCCAUGUGAGCCAUGUCAAGCAAGUGAUGGCCCUUUGGAACCACAUGGAUGCCUUUAUAUGCUGUGUGUUCCUAUCAAGCUUGGGAGAUCUCGAUCUGAAGUGGUUUGACAAACUGCCCGCAAGGUCAGUCGAGAACUUCUAAAAAUUGACUGAAUCAUUCGUAGCUCGGUUCGUGAUUAACACAAAGGCACCAAAAGGCGUAGGUUCUCUUUUAAUGCUUAAAAAGGGCAAGAACGAAUCAAUCAGAAACUAUAGCAAGCGAUACUGAGAUAUGUAUAAUGAGAUUUAAGAGUGCUCCAAGGAGUUGGCAGUGGCGAGCUACAAGCUUAGGCUAACUCCUGUAGAGAGACUCUAGGAGAACUUGACACUCAACCCUCCAACCGAUCUCCUGUACCUCAUGUCCUAGGUCGAGAUGUCGGACAAGUAGAAAAAGCUAUAGGGACAACUACCAAGGGUGAGGGUUCAUUCAAAAAGCAGAAGGAAAGCUUGGUUGACUACAAGAGUUGGGUGAGGCAGGGGAUCAACAUGGUUCUAAAGAACCAAUCUUUAAGCUCCUUGCCCCAAUUCGAGAUAAAUCUUAUUUUAGAAAGCUCAAACCAUGGAGGGAGAUCCCAAGAGGCUCAACCAAUGGUGGAAGUGUUCCUUCCAUGGUUAGAUUCAACGCUUAGUCUCACUGGCUCAUGGGAAUUGUUCCCAAGAGCAAGAGUUCAUUGUUGUGGAUAUACAUUUCUCAUAUAAUGCAAUUAUUGGCUGAGAUUGGUUACACAUGAUGAAGGGGGUGACUUUCACAUUACACCAAGUCAUCAAGUUUGUCACCCCUGAGGUAAAGAAACCCUUUAUGGAGAUUAGGUAGAAGCCAAAAAAUUGCUACCUUGCUACGGUUUCUACUAAGGUGUCCAUGAAAGAGGUGCAACUGAUUGAGGAGGAGCACGAAGUUUUGGAGGAUGUUAGGAGGGACCCCGAGACUAAUGUCACGCCCCGAUUAAACCAAGACCAGGCCACGUAAGCAAACAAUUCAAAUGCGAAAAAGUCAAACUGAACAACACAACAAAUAUACUUGUCAUUACAUCAGAGUACAGUACAUCUAUCCCUCCCGUGGGACCAUGCUCUGCAUGAGCUAUCAAAUACAAAAUAUGAAUGAUAAUCUAACGGACAAUGCCCACAUCGGGCCAAAAGAAUAAUUAUAAUUCCCAAAAGUAUAUUUACAUAUUUCCUAGACAAAGGAAGUUAACGGCAAUCCACAUACCUCAUAACUCAGGACAACCCUCGAUACCUGAAAUUCAUUUUUAUAGUAAGGGUGAAUUACCUUGAAAAGAUUUAAUAAUAGACUUGAUGUCUCAAGCCAAAAACCAUGAUACAUAAUUAUAUAAUGAAAACAUGGUACAAUUAAAGUAUAUUUUCAUUCAUAUCAAAAUAUACUUUUGAUUUCCAAUCCAUGAUUUCACAAAUCAACAAAUUCUCAAAUUCUCGGCUUUUCACAAAAAGCAUUUAUCAUUACACAUUUCAUAAUUUCUUAAACUCUGGCCUUUCUCAAAAAAACAUUACUUUUUUGGAAUGACACACCUAGGACAAAUACCUAUAAUAAUCAACUUUCCGGACUUUCACCGUGGGCUUUGACAUUCCCUCAUCUGUCACAUUCCUCGGACUUUCACUGAAAGGGUCGACAUUCCCUAUGCAUAGCCGCAUUUCUCGGAUGUAUUUCGAGAGCGUUGACAUUCCCUAUAUUGUGCAGUUGUCAUCUAGGACUUUCUUCUCAGACUUUUACCAAAAAUUUUACAUACCCAAACGUUCACAAGAUUGCCAUCUAGGACUUUAGUUUUGGCUUAAUCUAAGCCAUCUUAAUUUGGUAUAUCUUAGCGUGUCAUUCUCUAAAACCAUUUUUAUUAAAUUAUUCUUAAAAUCAUUUCCACGUAAACCAUUCUCAAACCCAUUUACAAAUCUCAACGUUGAUAAAGAUUGCAUUAGCCCAAAGUCACAAUGCAUCAACAUAAUAUGCAAUUACCAAAUCUAUUAAUAUAAACCAUCAUUUAAACCAUUUAAAUA